GCCUGAUGCGGUGUAAUUGACGAUAAUGCAAAACAACACACCUGAACGCGACUGCAUAAAACUCGCUGAAACGGAAAUGACGUAACCUGUUUGGUAUACUCGCUUCACUGCUGAAAUGGUUUGAAGCGGUUUGUUUCUCAUCAUUCUAACUGAAACAAGUUGAAGAGAGGCAAAGGACGCUAUUGUGUGGUGCAUGGAGGCAACAGUACUAGUUGCUAUAUUGACGAAGUUUUGUUUCAUUUCUUUCGGGUAAAAAAUAGAAAUUGAGAAGACAGUGGAUCAAUUUUGUUUGCGUGCCACGUAAAGAUUUUGAUCUGCGGUCGAAGACGAUGCGGAUAUGUGAGAAACAAUUUGAGAUUCGCGCUACCUGAUACAGUAACGACAAUUGAAAAACAUUGAAAAAGAAGAAGAAAUGUAAAUUUUUGCUGACAGAGAUAGUUACGACCACUCGCCUGCAUACCAAGAUAUUCAUCAUACAGAGGCACAAGAUACUAGUAACAAGAGGGACCCAGCUGAAGGGAAUGAAGGUCCAAGAUCAUUUGCUGUUCAGUCUAAGCCUAAACUUCAAUGUAAAGGUUUUGUCCACUGACUGCUGACCGUUGAAGACCGUUGAAGAAAAUUCAGUGACAUACCUCUGGUGGGAAUAGCCCCACCCCCUUUGACAGCAC